rnacentral:tRNA from 1 species
CCCAGCAUGGCGUAAUGGUUUGGGUGUUAGACUACGACUCUGGAGACCAGGGUUCAAAUCCCUCCCAGUGAUGGAA